CUGACCUGGAACAUAAUCUCGGAAUAAUUAGUUCUACUUUACUGGAAAAUUUUGAUCCAGUAUCAUGGGUUCAUCCGGUAUAAUCAAACAAUUUGCUGCUGCAGAAGAUUCUUACAGAUUGAGUUUGCUGCUCCUUUUCUUUGCAAAAAUGAAAGCCUACAACGGAUGGUGAAGCCUUACAUGUGCAUCUGUUGCAGAGCUCCCCAGGUCGCAACAGUAGCUUCUGCUUCAACUCUUACCCUUGGGCCACAGGGCUGGGGUUCAAGAGGAAUAUGCCACUGCUUCCAGUGAGCCAAGAGCUCACUGCUCUCGCUGGAAGCUCACUGGCUGCUGGACGGCAAGAGAAGGGGACGUUUGUGGAAGAAAGUGGAUUCUUUCCCUUUUCUGCUGGGAGAACUCUUCCCUGAGCUAAGGAGAACUUUACUAUUAUUAUCCU